AGAAAAGUAAUUUAAUUAAAAAUGUAAGGUUUCAAACCUUAAUAUGCAGAUAAUUUGCCUUUUUUG
rnacentral:tRNA from 1 species